rnacentral:lncRNA from 1 species
GAGGGGCAGUGUCCCUACCCAGGCUUGGAGGAGGAGCCUCAAGGGGUGUGUGUGGUUGGGGGAGACAGGCGGUGUCACCUGUGCUUAGACCAGGGGCGGUGGGCGGGUACCCUUGAGGUGGCAAGGUCACACUGCUCAUCAGAAGUUUCUCACUAGGGUCUUCUCUGGCCCAGCCUUUGACUGAAGCUGGUCUGGAGACAGGGGCGUUAGAGAAGUGACUCAUAGAUGGCCUAAAUAAGCGGGGCCACUCAAGGACCCAGGACAGGGGGAAGAGGGCCAACCCAUCUGGACCGCAGGCAAACCCCAUGGCCUUUGAGAGAAGAGAGAAGAGGACCCGGUGAAGUAGGCUCCGAGGGCCUCAGCCCAGCAGGAGCGCAGGGAGCUGCACCAGGAACUCACAGAGGAUCAGGGAGAAUUCUGAGAACAUGCUACUGUGGUGCUGCCUAGAGAGGAAGGAUAAAUGAUGACAAGUACAUCUCUGAGUAACGUAUGGGCACUUGUUCAUGAAAACUGUUUUUCUGAAAGCUUGUGAAGGUCUUGAAAUACUCGCUAUCAGUUGAGGACAAACAUUUACACCCUCCUUCCACAGGGAGUUCAAGCAGGCUGGAUGGGUCCAUCUAUGGAUGAUCUUCCCCAGCCCCUUCCUCUUCCCAGCUCAUCCCUGGCUCUCUGUGUGAACAGGUCUCAUCAGUGGAAUGUGGUUGAUGAAAUGUAACCCAUCUAUUUUACUGAAGAAAUGGGAAGAGCUGAAUGCUGAAUACACUGAAUGUCUGCAGGUUGUGCAAGUUUGUGACUUUAUCACUUUCUAAUUUCUGAUCUGUGUGGACCACUCUACAGAUUUUUCUCACUGGUGUGAUCAGCCUUCUGGAUGUCAAAUAUAAUAGACUUUCAAUAAUAUAAAAGUCAACACAAGCUCCUCAUGGUUUCAGUGCUCAGUGAUGACUCUAAACUUACACAAUGUGUUUCUUUAUUAGUUUUGUUUUCUGGUAUCUCUACUCGGCAUCUUCACCACACCCAUUUUAUGUUUCUUAUACAGGCUUUCUUCUAUGAAAUGCUAUGUCAUGAAUAUGCAAAUAACCUGAGAUCCACUGAGGUAAAUUUGGAUGUCUGUGCCCUGAGAGCAUCACCCAACAACCACAUCCCUCCUCUAUAGAAGCCCCUGAGAACACAGCUCCUCACCAUGGACUGUACCUGGGGGAUCCACUUCUUGGUGGCAGCUGCCACAGGUGUCCAUUCCCAGGUUCAGCUGUUGCAGCCUGGGGCUGAGGUGAAGAAGCCUGGGUCCUCAGUGAAGGUCUCCUGCCAGGCUUCCAGAUACACCUUCACCAAAUACUUUACACGGUGGGUGUGACAAAGCCCUGGACAAGGGCAUAGUGGAUGGGAUGAAUCAACCCUUACAAUGAUAACACACACUAUGCACAGACGUUCUGGGGCAGAGUCACCAUUACCAGUGACAGGUCCAUGAGCACAGCCUACAUGGAGCUGAGCAACCUGAGAUCUGAAGACAUGGUCAUGUAUUACUGUGUGAGAGACACAGUGCAAAAACCCACAUCCUGAGAGUGUCAGAAACCCCAGGAAGGAGACACCUGUGCUGACACAGAGGAGAUGACAAAGAUUAUUAGAUUAAAGAUUUGCUUAGAAAAUGACAUUAAGUCAUUAAAGAAAAGGAACAAUAUUAAUGUGUAUUUGAGAAAUUUUAAUUAUUUGAGAGAUUUUUCAUACAACAUUUAUUCUGUAAACAAAUUUCAAUGAUUAGAGAAUUAAUCAAAUUAAUGAAACUAAUAUAGAACUUCCUCUGAAGGUAUCUCUGUAAACAUUAAUUUCUUAAUCAGUGCUGUAAGUAUUUUGGAAUACAGACACAAAAUCACAUUUUAAGUCUGCAUUUAUAUCUAUUAAAAAUGCCAAAAAAAUCUCCUUUUGUGCGUGUAGCAUUUUGAAUUCCCACCAUCAAUGCAUGAUAGUUCUUGGUUUUCCACAUUCAUAUUGCCAUGUAUCCUUAUGAGAGUUGUGUGUUUUAACCAAUCUAGUAGGUGAGUAAUGGGAUCUAAUUUUUAUUUAAAUGCACAUGUCCCUCAAAAAGUUCAUAUUUAACAAUUUUCCAAUAACUUUUGUUGAGAUGCCU